GACGUAGGGGGCAAGCGUUGUCCGGAAUUAUUGGGCGUAAAGCGCUCGUAGGCGGAUCUGCAAGUCUGUGAGGAAAGACCCGGGCUCAACUCGGGGAACGGCAUAGAUACUGCGGAUCUUGAGACAAUCAGAGGAUGAUGGAAUUCCCGGUGUAGCGGUGAAAUGCGUAGAUAUCGAGAGGAACACCAGUGGCGAAGGCGAUCAUCUGGGGUUGUUCUGACGCUGAGGAGCGAAAGCUAGGGGAGCAAACGGG
rnacentral:rRNA from 1 species